rnacentral:tRNA from 1 species
GCAGUGGUAGUUCAGUGGUAGAAUUCUCACCUUCCAUAUGGGAGACCUGAGUUUGAAUCCCAGUCAAUGCA